AGUGAACGCUGGCGGUAGGCCUAACACAUGCAAGUCGAACGGCAGCACAGGAGAGCUUGCUCUCUGGGUGGCGAGUGGCGGACGGGUGAGGAAUACAUCGGAAUCUACUUUUUCGUGGGGGAUAACGUAGGGAAACUUACGCUAAUACCGCAUACGACCUACGGGUGAAAGCAGGGGACCUUCGGGCCUUGCGCGAUUGAAUGAGCCGAUGUCGGAUUAGCUAGUUGGCGGGGUAAAGGCCCACCAAGGCGACGAUCCGUAGCUGGUCUGGGAGGAUGAUCAGACACACUGGAACUGGGACACGGUCCAGACUCCUACGGGAGGCAGCAGUGGGGAAUAUUGGACAAUGGGCGCAAGCCUGAUCCAGCCAUACCGCGUGGGUGAAGAAGGCCUUCGGGUUGUAAAGCCCUUUUGUUGGGAAAGAAAUCCAGCCGGCUAAUACCUGGUUGGGAUGACGGUACCCAAAGAAUAAGCACCGGCUAACUUCGUGCCAGCCGCCGCCGUAACAC
rnacentral:rRNA from 1 species